rnacentral:rRNA from 1 species
UACCAGCUCUCCGAGUGGUAGGGAUGAUUAUUGGGCUUAAAGCGUCCGUAGCCGGCUUAGCAAGUUUCCUGUUAAAUUCAGCGACCUAAUCGUUGAGCCACGGGAAAUACUACUAGGCUAGGAGGCGGGAGAGGUCGACGGUACUUCUGGGGUAGGGGUGAAAUCCUAUAAUCCCGGGAGGACCACCAGUGGCGAAGGCUGUCGACUAGAACGCGCUCGACGGUGAGGGACGAAAGCUGGGGGGAGCGAACCGGAUUAGAUACCCGGGUAGUCCCAGCUGUAAACGAUGCGGGCUAGGUGUUGGGGUGGCUACGUGCCACUUCAGUGCCGCAGGGAAGCCAUUAAGCCCGCCGCCUGGGGAGUACGGCCGCAAGGCUGAAACUUAAAGGAAUUGGCGGGGGAGCACCACAAGGCGUGAAGCUUGCGGUUC